AUGCUUUUUAGUGUUAUAAGCACUAAAAUCGAAACUACAGAGAAGAUUAGCAUGGCUCUUGCUUAAAUAUGAUACACCAAUGUAAACAGAAGCCCAUGUUUUUU